ensembl:lncRNA
UUUCCUGUGAAAGCUCUUCAGAUACCUGUUCAUUUUAGAAUUGCAAGGCUGUGAGCAAGAAUUGACUGUAUUUCAUGGUUUCCAGAGAGGAUCAAGCAUAGACUGCAAUUGAUGGAAAAUGUAUGUUAAGCCUCAUCAUCAGACCUCUAAAGGAGAUUCCAUGUCCACUCCAGUUUUGAUACACGAACAUAGUCUAUAGAAGUGUCUUCAGCUCUUUCAAAAUGUAUUUUUUUUUUCUCCAUCUACUGUGUCUCAUUACUUCUCCAACUUCUCUGUGAGAGAGCUCAGAAUAAGAAGAAAAUACUUUUAAGUAUGGCAAAUUCAGGUAAUACUGUGAUUUCUCUGGGGGUUGACUAUGAUCAGAUGCCAGAAAAUAUACCAAAUGUAUUUUUAAGGAAGAAGUAGGAAAUACCCCUGCCAAAUUUAAGGAUGACAUCAAACCAGUGCCAUACAGAAGGUCCUGAACAGACUGAAUGAAUGAACCUUGUGAAACCAAGCAAUUUCAAAUGCCAAGUGCUCGAAGGAAGAAGCCCCUGCAAUGACAUAGUAACAUCAUUACCUUCUGAAAUAUCUAGGAGGUUCUCUUGGUUGAGAGCAGCUAUAACACCAGGUCUUCCAUUUGGGAAAGUAAACAAGCAGUUAAGCAUAUUAGAUUUUAGAAGCCUGUAGAAAUAUUGAAGUGGGUCAUUUUUACAAACUGUGAACAGAAAACAAACAAACAAAACAGAGUUCACAUUACUCUUACUCAUUCAAAAAAUCAUGUCCCUGUGAGGUAUGCAUUACUGAUAUAUCAUAUCUCCAUGGGAGAUGAAGUAGUCCCUAUUAGCUUAAAGCUGUGAUAAAACUGUGAUUAUCUUCACAGUAAUUGAAAUGUUACUGUCAUACUCUCUCAGUUACAAAACGACACUGAGUAACCAGAAAAAGAAUUAUUCAUUAUUCAAGGAACUACUGUAAAAAUAAUUGUGUCUGUAUCAGAUUCUACCUGCAGCUAUCUGAGAAGACCUUAUCCACACUUUGGGAAUGACUAUUGACAUCAGUGGUUAAGCUUUUAUGUCCAGUAUUACCUGUGACUCACUUCUUUUUCUUCAUUACUGCUGGAUAUGCAAACGAUAUAGCUAAAAGUAACAGUGUUUCUUUUUACCAGUUGUGUUAGGCACAGCACUGCUAACUGGUCAAUGAAAAUGGCUCUCCUGGACUCUGGGUAUGUGUACAGAAUGAGUAUGAGAGGCUGGAGAGCAGCUCCAAGGGAAGAGAUCUGGGGGUUCUGAGUGAUGAAAGUUGAACAAAAAUCAGCAGUGAGCCCUGGACAGCCAAAAGGGCCAAGCACAUCUUGAGCCAGUGUAGUUGAGUAAGUGAUGGAGAAAUGUGGAAAUUUAUGAGUGAAUUGGAGUUGUAUUAAGCAGACAAGUUUAAUAUGCAUAGAAAGUUUCAGUUAUUUGUACAGUCUAUUAUAUACAAUGUCUCACUUGAUAACUCAUGUAGCAUAUGGUGUGAUCUGUGUUUGUGAAUGUAUCUUUUCUACUUCCUGACUUCAUCUGGUCCUUGCUGAGUUUGCAUUAGUCCUUCUCAUUAAGCUUGCGUUAGCUUCACCUCUGAGGAAAAAAAAAAUCAAAUUAAAACCAAACCAAAUAAAAAAAACCCUUCUUUUUAAAAGAGGCCAUGAGAAACAAUAACACCAAAUAGCUAUUAUGGAUUUUUAGUGAUAUUUAUAAGCCUGUCUAUGAAGCUGUAUGAAGUUGAUUAUACUUAUGUACAUCGUUAUUUACAGCAGUUUCCUACCCAUGGAAACGAUUCUUAUGUGUAUAGAUUUUUCUACAGCAGGUUUAUUCAAUAAAGUCUGAGUCACUGCUU